UCUCUUAGAAACCCCCACCAACCUCUCAUUCGCUUCUUCUUCGGCCAAUUACUCACAAUGGAGAACUCGAACGAGCUAAGCACCGGAGCUAAGUCCGCCAAUCAGAACCCUAACCCCCAACACUGCUGCUGUCACUGGCAAUGGCGAUGGGGAUCCUGCCCAAGCAGUAUCGUCGCCAACCCGUACGCCGUUCACCAACCUCAGCCAAGUGGAUGUCGAUCUUGCCCUUGGGCGCACCCUCUAAGAACAGGAGGCGGCGUACCUGAUGUUGAUGAGCGGCCGUGGAAUAAGUGGUGACUAUGCGAGUUCAGCGGGGAGCUAUGAAGACAAUGGGGAAUUUGAUGUUCAUGAUCAUGAGGAGGGGAGUGAGUAUGAAGAGGAGUAUGAGGAGGAUGAGUUCGUUGAAGAUGGGCAUCAUGUUGAUCAGACGGGUUUCGAUAGCAAUGAAGCGUAUGCUAGGGCGCUGCAGGACCCGGAGGAGCGGGAGAUCGCUGCUCAGUUGAUGGCCUUUGCCGGCUUGAAUGAUUAUUAAAGAGUAUCUGAAUGUGGAUUCGAUCACCGUCAUAGAUGCAUAUGGAGAUGGUCGGCAUGUGAGGUCUGUUUCUAUUUUCACUAUGAACAACUGUAUGAAAAGCUUAUUUUAAUUGUGGUUUUAUACUCUCAUUUCUGUGCAACAUAUCUUGCAUUAUAUGUGAGAUAUGUUGGUAUAUUCUAUUAUGCCUUUAUUUUUAUGCAUGUGCUAUAUUAUUCUUCUUUUGAUCAGUUUUAGUCUUAGGCAAACAUGAAAACUUUUUCUUAACACUGAUGUUCUUUUCUUGUUCUGGGGACAUGCAUGUUGUAGCUGAUUGGUCUAGUGAAUUGAUUAAUCAAAUGGAGUAAAGAGAAGAAAUAAAUGCAGUAUUAUAAUAAAGUAGGCAAAUAUUAAGUGGAGUAAGUAAGGCAAUUAGUGUAUAUCAUACUUCCCAGUUGUAUAGAAUCGUGCACAUGAGUAUUAUAUUUGAAAUAUUUCGAAACAAAUACCGGACUUUAUGUCAGAUUCAAAAUAUAUAUAUUUUUUUUCUUUUUUGUGAAUGAACCAUUUGGUCCCCUUUAUGUUUCUUAAGAAUUGGAACAUGAUGUGUAUUAUAUAUUUAUGUAAAGUGUUCAGCGGAUUUAAUGUGGUAGUUGUUGAAGACUUGGAAGUUGAGAUAAAUUAGAAUAAGUUGUUGUA